rnacentral:rRNA from 1 species
AACGAACGCUGGCGGCAUGCCUAACACAUGCAAGUCGAACGAGACCUUCGGGUCUAGUGGCGCACGGGUGCGUAACGCGUGGGAACCUGCCCUUAGGUUCGGAAUAACUCCCCGAAAGGGGUGCUAAUACCGGAUAAUGUCUUCGGACCAAAGAUUUAUCGCCUUUGGAUGGGCCCGCGUUGGAUUAGCUAGUUGGUAGGGUAAAAGCCUACCAAGGCGACGAUCCAUAGCUGGUCUGAGAGGAUGAUCAGCCACACUGGGACUGAGACACGGCCCAGACUCCUGCGGGGGGAGGAAGGGGGGAAUAUUGGACAAGGGGGAAAAGCCUAGUCCGGAAAGGCCGCGGGAGUGAUGAAGGCCUUAGGUUUGUAAAGCUCUUUUACCCGGGAUGAUAAUAACAGUACCGGGAGAAUAGGCCCCGGCAAACUCCGU